rnacentral:rRNA from 1 species
ACGGCUCGGCAUCGAGCAGAGGGAAAAGGAGCAAUCCGCUUUGAAAUGGCCUCGCGUCCGAUUAGCUAGUUGGUGAGGUAACGGCCCACCAAGGCGACGAUCGGUAGCCGGACUGAGAGGUUGAACGGCCACAUUGGGACUGAGACACGGCCCAGACUCCUACGGGAGGCAGCAGUGGGGAAUAUUGCACAAUGGGGGAAACCCUGAUGCAGCGACGCCGCGUGGAGGAAGAAGGUCUUCGGAUUGUAAACUCCUGUUGUUGGGGAAGAUAAUGACGGUACCCAACAAGGAAGUGACGGCUAACUACGUGCCAGCAGCCGCGGUAAAACGUAGGUCACAAGUGUUGUCCGGAAUUACUGGGUGUAAAGGGAGCGCAGGCGGGAAGACAAGUUGGAAGUGAAAUCUAUGGGCUCAACCCAUAAACUGCUUUCAAAACUGUUUUUCUUGAGUAGUGCAGAGGUAAGCGGAAUUCCCGGUGUAGCGGUGGAAUGCGUAGAUAUCGGGAGGAACACCAGUGGCGAAGGCGGCCUACUGGGCACCAACUGACGCUGAGGCCCGAAAGUGUGGGUAGCAAACAGGAUUAGAUACCCUGGUAGUCCACACCGUAAACGAUGAUUACUAGGUGUUGGAGGAUUGACCCCUUCAGUGCCGCAGUUAACACAAUAAGUAAUCCACCUGGGGAGUACGACCGCAAGGUUGAAACUCAAAGGAAUUGACGGGGGCCCGCACAAGCAGUGGAGUAUGUGGUUUAAUUCGACGCAACGCGAAGAACCUUACCAAGUCUUGACAUCCCUUGACGAUGCUGGAAACAGUGUUUCUCUUCGGAGCAAGGAGACAGGUGGUGCAUGGUUGUCGUCAGCUCGUGUCGUGAGAUGUUGGGUUAAGUCCCGCAACGAGCGCAACCCUUAUGGUCAGUUACUACGCAAGAGGACUCUGGCCAGACUGCCGUUGACAAAACGGAGGAAGGUGGGGAUGACGUCAAAUCAUCAUGCCCUUUAUGACUUGGGCUACACACGUACUACAAUGGCGUUAAACAAAGAGAAGCAAGACCGCGAGGUGGAGCAAAACUCAGAAACAACGUCCCAGUUCGGACUGCAGGCUGCAACUCGCCUGCACGAAGUCGGAAUUGCUAGUAAUCGUGGAUCAGCAUGCCACGGUGAAUACGUUCCCGGGCCUUGUACACACCGCCCGUCACACCAUGAGAGCCGGGGGGACCCGAAGUCGGUAGUCUAACCGCAAGGAGGACGCCGCCGAAGGUAAAACUGGUGAUUGGGGUGAAGUCGUAACAAGGU